AAUAUUGCACAAUGGAGGAAACUCUGAUGCAGCGACGCCGCGUGAGCGAUGAAGGUUUUCGAGUCGUAAAGCUCUGUCCUAGGGGGCGAUAAUGACGGUACCCUAGGAGGAAGCCCCGGCUAACUACGUGCCAGCAGCCGCGGUAAUACGUAGGGGGCGAGCGUUGUCCGGAAUUAUUGGGCGUAAAGGGUUCGCAGGCGGCCUUUUAAGUCAGAUGUGAAAGCCCACGGCUUAACCGUAGUUAGCAUUUGAAACUAAAAGGCUUGAGUGCAGGAGAGGAGAGUGGAAUUCCUAGUGUAGCGGUGAAAUGCGUAGAUAUUAGGAGGAACACCAGUGGCGAAGGCGACUCUCUGGACUGCAACUGACGCUGAGGCACGAAAGCGUGGGGAGCGAACA
rnacentral:rRNA from 1 species